CCCAGAGGCCACGCUCCACCCAGACCGUACCACGCACCCCCCUCUUCCCGUCACCCAGCCAGCACCCAGACCCUGCCCAGCUCAGGUGAUGGCGCCUGCUUUUCCACAGACGAUUGGUCUGCCCUAGGGCUCCGUGCCUGCCCCAUUCCCCCUUGCUGAGAUGAAGCCUGCCCCAGCCAGCCCGCUGUCCCUCGUUACCCUGGCACCUGCCCUCGGCGCCUGCCACGCCUGCCUGCUGCCGGGAGCAGCAGACGCUGAGGUCUGAUCUGGGAUUCCCAGGAGGACAUUCUGGGUUGUCCCAGGGGAGAGGAUGGUGAACCUGGGGACCACACGCGGCUUGCAUGGGAGGCGGAACCCGGCAACGAGUUUCUGUUCAAGUUCUGCAUCCCAGCCAGAGAAAGCCUCCCUGGCCCCAUGGAGGAGCUGAUGUGCCUCUGAUCCCAGCCACUGCGCGGGCUCCAGUGGGGAUGAGCUCACCAGGAUGUGGGCUAAUGGGUUAACCCUUUGCGGGCUGCUGGCACAGGCACUCCCGUGAUGUGGCUUUGUCUCAGCUCGGCUCCGCCACUGUUGGAUAAACCUUGUGAAAAAUUAA